rnacentral:rRNA from 1 species
UACGGAGGGAGCUAGCGUUGUUCGGAAAUACUGGGCGUAAAGCGCACGUAGGCGGCGCAGCAAGUCAGGGGUGAAAUCCCGGGGCUCAACCCCGGAACUGCCCUUGAAACUGCAGUGCUAGAAUCUUGGAGAGGCGAGUGGAAUUCCGAGUGUAGAGGUGAAAUUCGUAGAUAUUCGGAAGAACUCCAGUGGCGAAGGCGACUCGCUGGACAAGUAUUGACGCUGAGGUGCGAAAGCGUGGGGAGCAAACAGG